ensembl:lncRNA
GGGGGAGGGAGCAGCAGUCUGGGUCCCCGCAGGGACAGGGUCUGGAUGGAGGGGAGCAAGUGUGAGCAAACAUGACUGUCAAGACAGGUGUCCUGCUGAGACAGGGAUACUUUUCGGCUGGAUGUGGGAACCCUAAGGCCGGAAAUGCACAGAGGCUGAAGCUAGUGUGAGAAGAGGUGGUGAGGAGCCCAGGACAAGGGGGGGGUACAGCUUGGCAAGUGCAAGGUCCUGAGUUUGAUCCCUAGGUACCAAAAAAAGAGGUGGGGUGCACAAAGGGAUGGAAGGGUGGAGGGGUACAUGGAAAGACUGCAAGGGAAAGGAGGAGGGGCAGCGGAUGGGGUAGGUUGCCUGCUGGGUGAGACUGUGAAGGUGAGGCAAGCUGGCAAGGUGGGCUCCUCACCGCUCUUCCGGUACAGAAUCAGUUCAGCCUUGAACUCCUUGUGCUCCGUCCAGGGCCUUGCGGAUCUGUUGUCGGACGAGCUCACUGGUGUCUGGCCCAUAGAGGAAGGAGCAGGCACAGCCCCGCUGCAUGACCUCAGCCCGGGAGAAGCCCGUGAGGUCACAGAAGCCAUCAGAGCAGUAGACCACAGGGAAGAGCCCUGCCACCUGGGCGUUGCCCAGCACAAAGUUACUAUCUGCAAGAGAGCACCUUUCAGAGGAGGAAUGGGGUGAAGGGAUGGGUAUCUAACACCCCUGCUUGCCCAAUGCCUUGCAACUGAAGGAUGGGUUUUACAAACUCCAGGAAUCCUGUGUAUGUUCCAGGUGGGAGCUAUUUAUGAAUGGGACUCAGUGUGCUGCCUGCGUCAGUGCCCUGAAAGGGGCUGCUGCUAGCCACACGUGUGUGCGUGCAUUCUAGAAUCAGGACAUGUGAACAAACACAGGUCAGUGCAGCCCUGUGUAGGCACGGUGCCCUCGGGUCUGUUCUGAGCAGUUUGGGGUAAGGGGUAAGCUUGAGGGUGUCCAAGGGACUGCAUCACUUGCUCUAGACUGGCCACAGCCCCACUGCUACUUCUGCCAGGUUCACCCACCAGCCAGGUAACCAGGGAGCAUGCUAAGCAGAGAGCUGGGAAGCCCAGCUGGGGGUGAGUGUGCAGGGAGGGAGGAGGAAGAAAGAGGAGGGAGAGGGAUCUGGCUAUCCUAUUUCCUUGUGAUCAGAGCCCUAGGAACCUGGGAUCCAGAAACUCAGGCGCCUCCAAACUUCCCCAGUCCUGGUGAGAGUCUCCAAAUUCAUCUUCUUUCGCUCUGGAGGGCUCACCAAGGUGGGUGGGUUUAGGCUGUGAGAUGGGCUUGGAUACUGGUACUGGUACUCUCUUGAGUCCCACCUACUGUCUCCGUUUCCAAACGUUUCUAAAUCUGUAUUUUGAGCCCUCCCAGGCUGACUGGGAGUCGUGCUCCCCAGUCUCAAUGAAACCAGCCAGUCCGAGGGUAGUCCUUGCAACAGAGCCAGAUGCCAGGAUACGGUGGGUCAGACUGACUAGGUCUGGGUUUGCGCCCCCAGGAACAGGGAGCAUCCCGGGCCCCACACCCAGGGACAUCUCCUUCAAGCCAUGUUGCUUUGCGGGUUGCAGGGCUGACCAUGAACCCUUUGGGGAAACGGCGCCUGGAAAGAAACGAUGGUCCCAACUUCUGAGGGGCGAAAGGUGAGAACCAAUGGGUGCCAAGUGUGGGAUCAGGACCGGCAGGAGCCCUGGCGGGGACCUCUCCUCCGGGAGUUGGGGGGGGAGGGCCUGACUCACGCGUGCCGUCGAAGCGCGUGGCGAUGGUGUCCAGGAAGGUGUUCUGCGGCGCCAGGAGCCCCCGCAUGGCCGGCAUCUUAGGCGGCCGGGGCCGCCCGCCCCAUCCCUCCGGGGCGCGGGGACUCAGCGCCGGGGGAGGGCGCCCGAUUCGGCCGCCCCCGCCGGGCCCCGCGCCCCCUAGCGCAGCCGUGGGGAGGCAAUGCCCAGCCAGGGCUUGCAGGCCCCGCCAGCCGCCGGUGCGAGAGCGGGCGUCCGCGCCGUCGGGGCCCGGAGCAUGGCGCGCGGCCCCUCGCGCCCUCGCCACCCACGAAUCCCUGGUUCCAGGCUCCGAAGCCGCGAUGCUUUCGGCACUUCUUGCCUGCUCGGGCGGCGGCAGCGGCUCCCGCUUCUACUGUGGGGCAGCUCCCGCUUGGGGUCUGCUUGGAGCCGGAUCCCCGCAGCUCCCUCCGUCUGUCGGGGAGAAGCGGCAGCCUCCCUCCCUACCUCCCGCGCCACCGCCUGCACUGGGGUAACCAUGGAGACCGGGCACACCCAGUCAGGGCCGCCUCCUUAAAGGGACAGGCCUCUUGCCGAAGGAUCCCCCCCCUCCCUCGGGACCUCAAUGGGGGCAGGGGCAGUUGCUGUCCCCCUAUAGCCCUGGCCGCCCCAGGCUGCCACCCGCCUCUGGGAGAACGACGCCGUGGCGUGGUAGGGUCGGGCUGACUCAGCCUCCGCCGCAGGGGCGGGCUUCUUCGCUAUAGCUUGGGGGCUCUCCGAGAGCUGCCUGGCAGCCUCGCCUCCCCCAAGAGGGACAGGAGGAGGGCUCUAGGCAAGGGGUGUUUGUAGAAGAUGCAAACCAUUUUCCCCGAGGAAAAAAUGUCAUGGAAAGGGGGACUGGCGACCAGGCGGCAGUGAAAGCCCAGUAGCAGGCGGUAGUGGGAGGUAGGAGACCCCAGAGGGCUCCAACUGCACAGGGAAGGUUUUAAAAGAUGGGAGGGGCUUCUGAGCACAGCCUCGGGCAGUCCAGCCUUUCUAGGCCUCAGCUUGACCCCCUGGAAGAAAGAUGAAGGGGAUGCCACUAAGAGAUGCAGCUGCAGGCAGGACCUGUGAGGAAACUAGAGGGUGGGUAGCCUAAGGGGAAGGUCUAGACGCUCUACACGUGGCCCCGGAGUGGAGAGGGCGAACGGUGAAGCCCUAGGACUCUCGCCUCGUCCCCGAUUUCUCUAGUCUGGGUCAGCUUUGCCGCUCCCAGGCAGCGCUGGAGGGUCAGGGCCGCCGGAGGUCAGACUCAGAGAGAAACUUUCUAACCUUGUGCGUGCGGGAGGUAAGGACGGGGCCCCGGCUCCCCGCCCCCGCUUCAGUACCAGACCACUCGGCCCUGCGCUGGACGGGAAGCUGCCGGGGGGCUGCAGGAGCCCCAGGUCCCUCGAAGGGUGGGGAGCAGAGGUCGUCUCCCGUCCGUCUUCCACGCCGCGGCGGUGCCCGCGGCUUCGCUCUGCCUGUGCCGCUCCUCCUCCCUCCACGAUUUGCCAGCGAGUGCGGCUGCCGCCCGCGCCCAGAGGAGCCGCCGGGGCCAAAACAGCAAUUUGUUCCUCAAAGAGAGAAACGCAGAGCUGAGCACCCAUCCCUCGAGGAGACACACCCACAGCCACCGGGCGUGGGAAAGGAGUGUGCCCCGCUCCACCUACCCCUCCUCAGGGAGGAAAGCCAAAGCACAGGG